rnacentral:snRNA from 1 species
GGAUGUGAGGGCGAUCUGGCUGCGACAUCUGUCACCCCAUUGAUCGCCAGCGUUGAUUCUGCUGAUCUGGCUGGGUAGGCGGGUGUCCCCUUCCUCCCUCACCGCUCCAUGUGCGUCCCUUCCGAAGCUGCGCGCUCGGUCGAAGAGGAGGACCAUCCCCGAUAGAGGACGACCAUUCUUUGGUCAAGGGUAUACGAGUAGCUGCACUCCCCUGCUAGAACCUCCAAACAAGCUCUCAAGGAAGGCAUAAAAAAUUAUCAAACUAGUGGACUUCCUCUUAGAACAUAGAGUAGAUAUACUUUUUCCUAUUCU